CAGGAGCACCGCCUCCCAGGCACCGGUCACAGCCCCCCGGCCUCGGGAGCGGCUGCCUCAGCGCACCCGCCGCCCGCGUGCAGAGAAGUGUAGUGUCCAUGAUGGUCUAGCACCGUUACUUUGGGGAUUGUGGUGAGGAGCGUGUGGCAGAACAUCACCUUAUGGAAUCUGCAAAACAAAGAGAAAAGAGGAAUAGUUUCUCAGUGGAAGAUCUGAGAAGGAAUCUUCCAUGUCCAGAGCAGCACAACUCCAUGGAAGCAGACAAGGCUGCUGUCUCAGAGAAGCAGAAACAAUAGCAGAGCUGCAAGCUGAAGUCAUAGGAUACUUGACUGUGCACAUCAGUAUUUUUAAGCACUUAACAUGUGUCUUUUGAAAACAUGUUAGGCACUGUCACCACCAAUUACAGCAGGUUUGCAUGCUGAAAAAAGAAUAUAUGGAAGCAUUUGAAAAUAUAUUCAGAGAACAUUAUGAUACCAUCCAUCACUUAGAAACAAACAAACUGAGCAAUGUUGCUAAGAUGUUUGCUCAGCUUUUAUACACUGAUUCACUUCUAUGGAGUGUUCUUGAAUGUAUAAAGCUCAGUGAAGACACCACUACAUCGCCUAGUAGAAUUUUUAUCAAAAUAUUUUUCCAGGCACUGUGUGAAUACAUGAGUCUUGCUAAACUUAAUGCAAGGUUAAAGGAUAGAACUCUACAGCCAUUCUUUGAAGGACUGUUACCUCAAGAUAACCCAUGGAAUACCUGCUUUGCCAUCAACUUCUUCACUUCAAUGUAAGAGUCAUGUGCAGAGUUUUAGCUUCAGCUGACAAAAUUAUCUUAGAAGUACCUUAGAGGCAUAGGAUGAACUAUGAGAGCAUCUGAAAAAUACACCCAAGGUCAUCAUGACAAAGAGACCAGAAGCUGAGCAUAAGAAACCGCCCCUGGCCUCAUCAUCUUCAGAGUCCUCCUUGGAGUCCAAGUCCUCAGAGUCCGACUCUGAAAGAAAUUAGAGAAGCUCAGACUCUUCCAGUGAAGGGAGCGACUCCUCAUCCUCCAGCAGUCAGAGCUCUGCCUCAGGUAUCCAGGAUCCUCCAGACUUUAGCCUGCUCAUUUCUAACAAGUACAUGACUUGUAGUGUUCGUAAUGAGGGCAGUCUUAGUGUUCAUAAUGAGGGCUGGUCUGAAUUGCUGCUUAUUUAUUUUGGCUGUGUAUUUAAAACAUAUUUACUAAUAGAGAUGAUCAUCUGUCACUGACACAGUCUGCAGUGGGUUAUAUCUGUUUUAGAAGCCUCCUCAUAGACACAGCUAUGGUUCAAGCGAUGCUAGAAGAACCAUCAUGUGUGCGUUCUAGUUUAUAGGUGCCAUCCUGAUGCUCCAUUUUCAAGGCAUUAGGGUUUUAUUUGUAGUAAUCAAGCUUUAUGUAACUCAUGUCAGUCAUGGUUUGUCUUAUUUGCUGUACAGAGCUCUCCCCCUGAUGAAGAAGUACUGGCACUUCAGAACUCCUGUUUGUUCCUCUUGUGCUUGCUAGCCUCCAUCUGUCUUCAUGGCAGCUGCUGUUGUGAUUAGUAAUUCCAUUCGUUGGUCUUGCCUCUGUUGUUUUAUUGUGACAAGUUCUCACAACAUUGUGGGAACACCAGACCUUGAGCAGAGACCCACUUCCCCUUCUGCCUGGGAGUAGGCAGCUGUAAGACAAUGUUUAGUAAAAACAUGUUUACU